rnacentral:rRNA from 1 species
AAGGAUCAUUACCGAGUUAGGGCCCUCCACAGGGCCCGACCUCCCAACCCCUUGUUUAAUCAUACCAUUUGUUGCUUCGGCGGGACGGUCUUCCCAGACCGCCGGGGGGGUGCUCACCGCCCCUCUGGAGAGUCUUGCCCGCCGAUGGCCCCCUUCAAAAUCUUGAACCCAACCUUGACGCCUAAAUUGGAUUUAUUGUAUAAUGGACAAAAAAUAAAACUUUCAACAACGGAUCUCUUGGGUUCUGGCAUCGAUGAAGAACGCAGCGAAAUGCGAUUAGUAAUGCGAAUUGCAGAAUUUCCGUGAGUCAUCGAAUCUUUGAACGCACAUUGCGCCCUUUGGUAUUCCGAAGGGCAUGCCUGUUCGAGCGUCAUUAUCCCCCCUCAAACCUCGGGUUUGGUGUUUGGACCGACGUUGGUCGUUACCCCGACCAACUGGUCUCAAAGACAAUGACGGCGUCCGUGGGACCCUCGAUACACCGAGCUUUCUUUUCGAAGCACGUACCGAGUUGCAAGGACCCACGCCCGCCGGUCGCUCUCCCCUUCUCGGAGAAAACGCAAGUUUUUUUCACAAGGUUGACCUCGGAUCAGGUAGGAGUACCCCGCUGAACUUUA